rnacentral:tRNA from 1 species
UUCGGGUGUGGCCGAGGAGGGAGUGGUGUCCGGUUUCGGCUCGGGCUUGGGGUCCGGUUUGGGUUCGGGUUUCGGGUCCGGGG